CCUUACCUACUCUUGACAUCCAGAGAACUUAGCAGAGAUGCUUUGGUGCCUUCGGGAACUCUGAGACAGGUGCUGCAUGGCUGUCGUCAGCUCGUGUUGUGAAAUGUUGGGUUAAGUCCCGCAACGAGCGCAACCCUUAUCCUUUGUUGCCAGCGGUUNGGCCGGGAACUCAAAGGAGACUGCCAGUGAUAAACUGGAGGAAGGUGGGGAUGACGUCAAGUCAUCAUGGCCCUUACGAGUAGGGCUACACACGUGCUACAAUGGCGCAUACAAAGAGAAGCGACCUCGCGAGAGCAAGCGGACCUCAUAAAGUGCGUCGUAGUCCGGAUUGGAGUCUGCAACUCGACUCCAUGAAGUCGGAAUCGCUAGU
rnacentral:rRNA from 1 species